rnacentral:lncRNA from 1 species
CUGCAAAGCGAAACGUACAAUUUUGUGGGCAAUUUAAAGCUUGCAAGUUAUAACUAACUAACUAGCUUCAAUGAUUAAAAGGAAUAAGGGGAUGUGUACCAUGUGCCUCAAAGCCAUGUCUAGAGACGACCUAGAAAGAGUUCUCCCGAAACCCGAGCAGGUGUUAUCGUCAAAUUUUGGAGGUGGCAGUUUCCUCAUGUUCACAACUCUUUCCACCAUUUGAGUCCCCAUCAACACAGGAUUCACAUCAUUGCUAAUCUUGGACCGUCCCGUUGAUCUGUCCGAUGAACUGUGGACUCUGCUUCUUGAGGCUGAGACAGGUCUAGCACGUGUUUCAGGGAUUGUUGGAGUUGUAGAUUUAGCACUAGAGACUGACUUUCCCACCGAGGAUGAACGGGUAAGAGCAGAUGCUCGUGGAUUGGAUUUGUUUGAAGUGGUUCUACUAUUUUGAUUCGAAUUUCGAGCAGAGUUGGUUAGUCUUGUGGAAGAUAAUGUGGCUCGUGAAGUGGGUGUGGCUUGUCUUGACGGUUUACUGCUUGGUAAUACUUCUGCAGCUGUGUUGGCUUGUUUGCUAGAAGCAGUUCUUGGGGUUGGCUUGGAAGCCUUAACGCUCCGUGUCACAGGUUCUUGCGGAAUGUUUUCAACCUUAAAGCAAAAGCAUGACAAAUAUCAAUCUUGUCUGUGUCCCCUAAAGACAAAGAUGGCUAAACGAAGAGGAUUCCAGGAAAGUAACAUUGAGAGUAGUUAGAAUCGGUUCUCACCCGUGGUUUCAGAGCAAUGGACCUAGCUUUAGGCUCCUUGACGUUAACCAUUGAGUUCUGUUUCCCUCCUAGUGUCUCAGGAGCCGCAAGUAACCUGGAAUCAGAUCAUCUCUAGCUGAAUAUCUCAACAAAAAGAGAGUACUCUAUUCGAAGAUUCUAUCUAACUGCAGCCAAUAGCAACCAGAUGAGACCAGUCAUGCAGACAUAUAAGCCUAUUAGAAGCAUCACCAUUGGAACACUACUAUGACAGAUAACUCAUAAACAUCUCAAAAUUCACAAGAAAAGAAAAUCAAAGAAGUACCACUCGUAAUCUGACUUAUCGUUCUCAGAGUCCAAAAACUUUUCAACAGCGCUCAUAGGCAGCUUAACACAGCUCCUUUUCAAAAGCUCCAAACUCUUUGUGCUAGUCUUGUCAACACUGUUUACUCCUGUCAAAAUCAAACAGCAAUAUUCAGGAAAUCAAAAUGUUGACUAGAAAUCAGCUACAAGAGCUAACCAAUCAACUCUAUAUUACUCAAAACGCACGAAACUAGUUCAAAUAAGCUGAGUUUAAGCAUUAUUUCUUAGAUUUAGGUUCCGUGAGCUCAGAUUCGGAGAAAUUGAAGUCAAAUUUGAAGAAACGAAGAUCCAGUAAAACUGAAUCUUCUCGCGUCUUCGCAUCUCCAGGAAUAGAGAGAGUUCUUCAUCUCCAUCACGAACCACCACCACAUUCUCCAUCAACAAAGAUUGAUUCAGUCGUAUAUUCACGAAACUGCCACUGUUCUGAUUCUCUCAGGUGCUCUCUUAUUUUUUCUGGAGGUGGAGCGUUAAUUACGUAGGGCCUAGUGACUGAAUCUAAGAUCUGAACCGUUGGAUGUACAACGGCGAUUGACUGAUCGGACGGUUGAUUUUUGAAUUGGACUGACCAAUGAGGGAGCCUCGUGUUUCGUGUGAAUUCAAACUCUUCACUUCUUUUAUUUGUUUUUUACACAUAUAAAUCUACACGGCCCAAUAGCUUAUUCGUUGGGCUUUUUAACCCACAAAAGCUCGCCAAUACUCUGAUUUUUUACAUUCUCACCAAAGGGUCUGAUUUUUUGACAUGAUAAGGUAAACAUCCCCCUAUUAAGCUCUUUGGUCUAAGAAGCAUAAACCUGUAAUGUGUUGAAAAAUAAUUUUGUAAGCUGUUGAAAAAUGCUUAACCUCUAAUGUGAACUGUGAAGGCUGUGAUGAUAUGGAAACAGCAAGACAGCCAGUUUCUAGGAGACCGAAACUGAGAUCCAUGUGAAUAUUUCUCAAUUUUUUAUAAGAUUUAUUAUUUUGUUAAUAUCUAUUUAUGUUUCUAAAUUUUAACAUGGCUUCAAUUGGUGAUCCAUUUGGAGAAAAAUAAUAAGAAUUCCUCCAAAUUCAUUCCUCUGUUUCUAACUUCUAGUUCUAGCUUCUAACAGUCGUCUACCACAAAAGAUACAAAUAUAGACAUCAAGCAGUGUUCAAGAAAGCGCUAGGCGCUAAGCGGGCGGUGACCCAGUGCCUAGCGCCUAGAACGCUUAAUCGGGGCCUAGGCGAUUUUUUAGGCGGUUUAGACGUUUAUAACAUAAAAAAUUAUAAAUAUAAUAUUAUAUAUAAAAGUUAUAUAAAAUAUCUAUAUAAAACUAAAAAUUAUGAAAUUAUAAACAAAAACUAGAUAAAACAUUUAUUUAUAUUUAUAUUAAAAAAUAUAUGAAUAUUUAUAACUAUAUAUAAAAAUAAAUCUCUAAUUGAAAUUGAAAAAAUACAUUAAACAAGAUCUAUGUGAUUUUAGGCGGUCAAGGCGGUAAUCUAGGCGUCGCAUGAGAGCCUAGCGUCUAGUCGGAGCCUAGGCGACCGCCUAGACCGCUUUUUAGAACACUGACAUCAAGACAAUGAAAUUUCAUCAACAAAUAAAUGAGGAGUGAUUUUGUUCUGUAGCUUUUGAGCUUUAGAUACGUGAGUCGCAAGGCAGUUAGAAUUAUAUAUCAAACAUCAAGUAGCAGAAAUAAUCGUCUUCCGUAUUUGACUGAUAAGUGAAAAAAAAGUGUUUGCCAUUUAGGCUUUGGACACAUAUUUCACACAAACACACCUAUUUGAUUUCCUGUCAUCUCUGCAUUCCUCUGCAAACAACACAGUGAUCUGAAACUAUGAUGUCUAUGACACUGCCCUUACCGAUCUUAAGUUUUCUGGUGAACUUGUUCCAUAGAUGCAGCCCAUAGCUUUCUCUGUUCAGCUUCACCAGAUCGGUUUUGAGUAACGUCGAGUCAUUGCUGCUCCUUGGCGUUUGAAACAGUCUCGGAAUGUCUAACCAAUUGAAUGGAUAGAAUGCUACUGGUGGCAGUACUGUGAAGUUAUCCCCAAUCGUUUCUCUUGCUCUUUGCACUACUCUUGUUACCAAGCAAGGACCAUUGUGUCCCCAUUUGUUCCCGUCAAAAGUCGAAGCAAACUCCUCCAUGAAACUGUAAACAAGCGGGUGAUGUUUUUCGAAGAUCAGAACCGCGUUGUUCAACGUUUUCCAGUUCUUUGAAUCUCCCUCCAGUAAUGUUUGUACUCCUAUUGAAUUCCUCAACCCUUUAAAGCUUCUUGUGACGAUGAAAUCGGUAUCUAGGUACACACCUCCGUACUUGUAAAGAAUUGCUAGCCUCGCGAGGUUUGAAAGAUUCUGAUGUAACGGUAUCCUUCCUGGAUCUCUUUUGCAGCUUUUCAUUUCUUGAAACCAAGAUUUAGCUGGUGUGUUCUCAAGAAGCAAUGAAAUGUCUGGUGUGGCUGCAAAAACCUUGUAACCGCGAUCAAUUAGCGGUUUUAGGAUGCUAUCUCCUUGUUGAGACUCCAUGGAUCCCGAUACAAUCAUUAAGCAUCCUCGAGGAUGUGAUUUAAAGACGCUUUCUACAGCCAAAAGUUCUCUCUUCCCAAAAAACUCUGCUGGUGAAAACCAUGUCAUGAAGAAUCUAACCUCACAUUUGUCGUCGAGAGAGUCAACAACCCUCUGAUGAAACUGCUCUGAAAGGUUGGUUGACCCGAAAACCUCGAAUUCUGUAAGAUGUGAUCGAAGCCAAGCGAUCCUGUCUCUGCUUGUACUGUUCUUUGGAGGAGCCAAUGACUUUCUCUCCAUUUUGUUUAUUUGUAUUACCUCAGAGGUCGGUGAAGACCAGAAGAAAGUUGAUUCUAGAGACAUGUUUGAGAGGAUUGUUCCCGCGACAACGAGCAGCACUAUGACCCCGAAAAUGGCGGUAGAGAAUACCGGGGAAUUCGUGUGCCUGAGUUGCCGGACAUCAAGUACUUCCGAGAGACUCUUCUUGCUACUAUUAUCAUUCUCCAUUGUUUCAGAAUGUCCUGAACAGAGAAGGAAAGUCAAAAGCUCACAUGGAGUCUAAAGCUAUUGCAGAUCUUAAGAAAGGUAUAUAAUAUAACCUCCUCAAUUAAUUGUUUCAGUAUUUUUCUAAACUAAUGUGAUUUUUUCUAAGUAGUUUAAUUCUAUGUAUUAUGGUCAUAUUUUGGAGGUGGCAGUUUCCUCAUGUUCACA